rnacentral:sRNA from 1 species
AGAUAAUGAGAAUAAUAGUGAAACAUGUAGAAAGUGAAUUAUGCGACUUAAUUCUUCUAUAGAUUCCUAAUAGGUAGUCACUUAAAAAAAUAUUUGGUCUAUCUAAUUGCUAUUUCUAAGACCAAAUUUGUGGUAAUUUUUUUUCUUUUUAUAGGGACCACUUGUACGGUGGCUGAAAGUGAAUUUUAGUGAAGCAUUUAUUGCAUGGAUUCACGUGAAAGCAUUACGGGUUUUCGUUGAGUCUGUUUUAAGGUAUGGCUUGCCAGUGAACUUCCAAGCAAUGCUACUUCAGCCCAAUAAGAAAACUUUGAAGAAACUGAGAGAAGUAUUACAUGAAUUGUAUAAACAUCUAGACAGCAGUGCAGCAGCUAUUAUUGAUGCUCCUAUGGAUAUUCCAGGUUUAAACCUGAGUCAACAAGAAUACUACCCCUAUGUGUACUACAAGAUUGAUUGCAACUUGCUGGAAUUCAAGUGAAAAUGGGCUCCUCCCCCGACAAUCCUGUCCUUGUGUUUGUGUGUGCUAACGGAAAUAAGUUGCAGUAUGGUCGUACUU